AGACCUGUGCAGACAGCGACUUCACCUGUGGCAACGGCCACUGCAUCCCAGAGCGGUGGAAGUGUGACGGCGAGGAGGAGUGUCCUGAUGGCUCUGAUGAGUCCGAGACUACGUGCACCAAGCAGGUGUGUCCUGCAGAGAAGCUGAGCUGUGGACCCGCCAGCCACAAGUGUGUGCCCGCCUCGUGGCGCUGCGACGGGGAGAAGGACUGCGAAAGUGGAGCGGACGAGGCCGGCUGUGCCACCUUGUGCGCCCCGCACGAGUUCCAGUGCAGCAACCGCUCCUGCCUGGCCGCCGUGUUCGUGUGCGAUGGCGACGACGACUGCGGCGACGG